UACGGAGGGUGCGAGCGUUGUCCGGAUUUAUUGGGUUUAAAGGGUGCGUAGGCGGCCCGUUAAGUCCGGGGUGAAAGCCCGCUGCUCAACAGCGGAAUGGCCCUGGAUACUGGCGGGCUUGAGUCCAGACGAGGUUGGCGGAACAGAGGCUGUAGCGGUGAAAUGCAUAGAUAGCCUCUAGAACCCCGAUUGCGUAGGCAGCUGACUAGGCUGGCACUGACGCUGAGGCACGAAAGCGUGGGGAGCGAACAGG
rnacentral:rRNA from 1 species